rnacentral:rRNA from 1 species
CACGAACGCUGGCGGCGUGCUUAACACAUGCAAGUCGAACGAUGAAGCUGGAGCUUGCUCUGGUGGAUUAGUGGCGAACGGGUGAGUAACACGUGAGUAACCUGCCCUGGACUCUGGGAUAAGCGUUGGAAACGACGUCUAAUACCGGAUAGGACCUCGGAUCGCAUGAUCUGGGGUGGAAAGUUUUUCGGUCUGGGAUGGACUCGCGGCCUAUCAGCUUGUUGGUGAGGUAAUGGCUCACCAAGGCGUCGACGGGUAGCCGGCCUGAGAGGGUGACCGGCCACACUGGGACUGAGACACGGCCCAGACUCCUACGGGAGGCAGCAGUGGGGAAUAUUGCACAAUGGGCGCAAGCCUGAUACAGCAACGCCGCGUGCGGGAUGACGGCCUUCGGGUUGUAAACCGCUUUUAGUAAGGAAGAAGGGGCUUCGGCCUUGACGGUACUUGCAGAAAAAGGACCGGCUAACUACGUGCCAGCCGCCGCAGUAACAC